UCCAUCUAAAGACCACUUACCUUCAUUUUAGGUUCAACGUCAACUGUAUCCAAUGAACUACAUAACAAAGCCUUGAAGAUAGUUACACCCAAAGGUCUGUUCAGUUUUUUUUCUCCCGUUAAGUUUUUUGUCUGCCGUUACCCAAAGGUAUGUUCAGUUUUUUUGCCUCCCCUUAACAGUCAUAACUUCUUUUGAUCUGCCUUAGUUUUAAUGAUCCACUGCGAAUAUACAGAUGGUACAACAACCACAACGUUUACUCCAACCGUCAGUCGGUUGUGUUCAAAUUAUGUUCCGCUUCAGAAAGUUCCAAUCUGCAAAUUUUGCUCAAA
rnacentral:lncRNA from 1 species